rnacentral:rRNA from 1 species
CGUGGGUAACCUGCCCUAUACACAUGGAUAACAUACUGAAAAGUUUACUAAUACAUGAUAAUAUAUAUUUGUGGCAUCGCAGAUAUAUCAAAGUGUUAGCGGUAUAGGAUGGACCCGCGUCUGAUUAGCUAGUUGGUGAGAUAACUGCUCACCAAGGCGACGAUCAGUAGCCGACCUGAGAGGGUGAUCGGCCACAUUGGAACUGAGACACGGUCCAAACUCCUACGGGAGGCAGCAGCG